rnacentral:rRNA from 1 species
CCUACGGGGUGCAGCAGUGAGGAAUAUUGGUCAAUGGCCGGAAGGCUGAACCAGCCAUGCCGCGUGAAGGUCAGUGCCCUAUGGGCGUUAAACUUCUUUUGUGCGGGAGCAAUAAUGGUCACGUGUGGCCAGACGAGAGUACCGUACGAAUAAGCAUCGGCUAACUCCGUGCCAGCAGCCGCGGUAAUACGGGGGAUGCAAGCGUUAUCCGGAUUUAUUGGGUUUAAAGGGUGCGUAGGCUGGGAGGUAAGUCAGCGGUGAAAUGCCCCCGCUCAACGGGGUGAAGUGCCAUUGAUACUGCCUGGCUGGAAUGCGGAUGCCGUGGGAGGAAUGUGUGGUGUAGCGGUGAAAUGCAUAGAUAUCACACAGAACACCGAUUGCGAAGGCAUCUCACGAAUCCGCGAUUGACGCUGAUGCACGAAAGCGUGGGUAUCAAACAGGAUUAGAUACCCCGGUAGUC